rnacentral:rRNA from 1 species
UACGAAGGGUGCUAGCGUUGUUCGGAAUUACUGGGCGUAAAGAGCGCGUAGGCGGUUAUACAAGUCAGGGGUGAAAUCCCAGAGCUUAACUCUGGAACUGCCUUUGAAACUGUAUAGCUGGAGUGUGUGAGGGGAUAGCGGAAUUCUUAAUGUAGAGGUGAAAUUCGUAGAUAUUCGCAAGAACACCAGUGGCGAAGGCGGCUCACUGGCCCGAUACUGACGCUGAGGUGCGAAAGCGUGGGGAGCAAACAGG